GUCCGCACCGUAAACGAUGAUUACUCGUUGUUGGCGAUAUGACAGUCAGCGACCAAGCGAAAGCGAUAAGUAAUCCACCUGGGGAGUACGCCGGCAACGGUGAAACUCAAAAGGAAUUGACGGGGGCCCGCACAAGCGGAGGAGCAUGUGGUUUAAUUCGAUGAUACGCGAGGAACCUUACCUGGGCUUGAAAGUUAGUGACCGAUUCUGAAAGGAGUCUUUCCGCAAGGACACGAAACUAGGUGCUGCAUGGCUGUCGU
rnacentral:rRNA from 1 species